ACCAUUAUUUAAUUUCAUUUAUUUUAUUUUAUUUUUUUUACUUUUGGCAAUGAGCAACCACCUAGGAACCUUUAUUUACAUAUUUGUUUGUUUAUUGUAAACAUGCUUAUUUUUCUUAAUUUUGAUAACAACAAUGCAGCAGCAACAACAACAACAACAACAAAACAUCUAAAAAUAGGCCUAAUUUUCAAAUCAUGUGGUAAUAAUAACAGCGAUGCUUGUCUUAUCAACUCCUUCUAAAGAAUUUGAUAGGAAACAUUUGUGAUUUUCCUUUAUAUUUGCUGAAGCAUCAGGAAUGAAGCAGAGUCUUCUGCUGGAGUGUGAGCGAGUCUGGAGCAUCAGAUGUUUUCACGAGCGUCUGAACCACAGCUUGUUCUCAGAUAGAGUCAGAACACAGCGAGCGGCUCACAGAGAUACAGCGUUCAUCAAGGCGAAACAUCAAUGAAGGAAGAUCUCCCGCAGCUGGACUGAAGGGUUCGCUGGAGGUGCGACAGGAGGGAUGUGUGCUGCCGGUGUGCGGUGGGUGGCGUUAGUCCAGGAUCCCCCAGAUCUGUGGCCUUUCUGCAAAUCAGAGCCUUGUUUGUGUUUCCUCUGAUUGAGAACACAUUGGCCGGACCGGGGCGACUGGGGUCCGACUCUCCGGGGUCGUCCAGGCCCCUUCCUCUCCUCAGUAACCCUCCGCUGCCCUCAGAAGGGGGCGACCCGCGUGCCACCGAGACCAAACCUGGCAAGCAAACGCCCAACGGUCUUGGGUUACAACACAAUCUCUUCCUAAACCAUUAGUGAAGACGAGAAAGGAAUUCAACACAAACAGGACGCUGAAGUGCGAGACUCUACCAUCACAGUAUGAGGAGCGAUGUGAUCCACGCGCUCAGAGAAAGGCUGCGGCGGGUGGCUCUCGUGCAAAAGCUACUGAUAUCAACACUUUAGGUGCUAAUAUUAACACUUUAGACAUUAAUAUGGGUAAAUAAGGUAGAAAGUUGUACCUUUUGAAAGGGUUGCACCCCAGUGAGAGCGUUUGUGUAUUUUUUUCUGAGUGUACAGAUUCAUCUUUGAAAUCAUUUUUGUGCAUUAUGCAUGAAAAUCAUGAAUGAAAUCUUGUUACUGUCUUAAAUGUUUCUUUUAGACAGUAACAAGAUUGAAGCAUGGAAGUCUGUUUCUGCCACAUGACAAUCAAUCAAUAAAGGUAACAGUGACAUUUUAUCUCUGACUUUUUUCUUGCAAUUCUGAGGGGGUUAAAUAAUCUGAAUUGUGAGAUAAACACUAUGAAUUGAAGGAAAAAAGUCAGAAUUCUGAGAUAACCAUACACUGCAGUGAAGAGAUGCCUUCAUAUUAAAAGAAUAGUUCAUAAAAAAAGGUCAUUGUAACAUUUUAUCCCACAAUUUGGAGUUUUUUCUUGCAAUUCUGUGUCUGUAUCUCGCAGUUCUGAGAAAGAAAAAAAAUCUGAAUUGCAAGAUAUAAAAUGAGAAUUGUGAGACUUUUUUGUGCUGAACAAAGAGAAAUGUCUUUUUUCUAUGCAGUUGAAGUCAGUUUGGCAUCGGUUUGGUUUCUAGCAUUCUUCAAAAUAGGAAGGAAAGAAAAAAGGAAGUCAUAUGAGUUUGGAAGGUAAAAUAAUGCCAUUUUUGGGUGAAGUAUCACUUUAGAGCCCGAAUUCAGGUCUUUGCCCCAGUUUUAGCUAAAUAAAAGCAUCCAUAUGGACCAUCAGCAUGAUCUAAACGUGAUGCUCAUCAGUGUAUUUGUGAAAUCCGUCAAUGAGUGCGGUCAGAGCUGUGUGAGCGGCGUACACCUGCUGACCGGUGCAUUAGUUCAGUAACACAACAGCCCACAGCGAAGCUGUCAGCACAUCAGAACAUCACACUGCUGCUAAUGACAGAGACACUUUGUGUGUGUGUGUGUGUGUGUGUGUGUGUGUGUGUGUGUGU